UACGGAGGGUGCAAGCGUUAUCCGGAUUCACUGGGUUUAAAGGGUGCGUAGGAGGGCAGGGAAGUCCGUGGUGAAAUCCUAGAGCUUAACUCUAGAACUGCCGUGGAUACUCUCUGUCUUGAAUCCCGUGGAGAUGAGCGGAAUAUGUCAUGUAGCGGUGAAAUGCUUAGAUAUGACAUACGAACACCAAUGCGAAGGCAGCUCGUUACACGAAGAUUGACUCUGAGGCACGAAAGCGGUGGGAUCAAACAGG
rnacentral:rRNA from 1 species